GGCGAGUGAAGCGGCAAAAGCUCAAAUUUGAAAUCCUUCGGGAGUUGUAAUUUGUAGAGGGGUGUCUUUGGGGCGGCAUUGUCUAUGUUCCUUGGAACAGGACGUCACAGAGGGUGAGAAUCCCGUGCGAUGAUGCCUCAACCAGUACAAGACCCUCUCGACGAGUCGAGUUGUUUGGGAAUGCAGCUCUAAGUGGGUGGUAAAUUCCAUCUAAAGCUAAAUACUGGCGAGAGACCGAUAGCGAACAAGUACAGUGAUGGAAAGAUGAAAAGCACUUUGAAAAGAGAGUGAAACAGUACGUGAAAUUGUUGAAAGGGAAGGGUAGGAGGUGAGGGGAAGAGCUGCUUAGGCGCGGGAGAUAAACAAGCAGGAAGCGCUUCGGUGCGGCCUGGUAAAUAUCCCGUGCUUGUGUGGUUCUUCCGUAAUCCCCUUCUACCGCCCGUCUUGAACCACGGAC
rnacentral:rRNA from 1 species